CCUACGGUGGGCAGCAGUGGGGAAUAUUGCGCAAUGGGCGAAAGCCUGACGCAGCGACGCCGCGUGAGGGAUGAAGGUCUUCGGGUCGUAAACCUCUGUCAGCAGGGAAGAACGGUCACUGUGCUAUUCAUCAUUGAAUUUACGGUACCUGCAAAGGAAGCACCGGCUAACUCCGUGCCAGAAGCCGCUGUAAUACGGAGGAUGCUAGCGUUAAUCGGAAUUACUGGGCGUAAAGCGCUCGUAGGAGGUAUGUCAAGUCAAGGGUGAAAUCCCCGGGCUCAACGUGAGAACUGCAUUUGAGACUGGCAGACUGGAGUGUGGGUGAGGUAAGUGGAAUUCCAGGUGUAGGAGUGAAAUGCGUAGAUAUCUGGAGGAACACCGGUGGCGAAGGCGACUACCUGGCACACAACUGACGCUGAGGAGCGAAAGCGUGGGUAGCAAACAGGAUUAGAUACCCUAGUAGUC
rnacentral:rRNA from 1 species